AUUGCUUCUCGGCCUUUUGGCUAAGGUCAAGUGUAGUAUUUGUUCUUAUUAGUGUUUUGUUCUUUAUGCUAAACACUGUGUAAUACUGAAAGGAUCCCUUUCUAUGAAAUAAGGUGCUGGUAAACUCUU
ensembl:snRNA U2 U2 spliceosomal RNA